UACGAAGGGGGCGAGCGUUGUUCGGAAUUACUGGGCGUAAAGGGCGCGCAGGCGGCCCUUGAAGUCAGGCGUGAAAGCCCCGGGCUCAACCUGGGAGGUGCGCUUGAUACUCGAGGGCUUGAGUGCGGGAGAGGAGAGUGGAAUUCCCAGUGUAGAGGUGAAAUUCGUAGAUAUUGGGAAGAACACCGGUGGCGAAGGCGGCUCUCUGGUCCAUUACUGACGCUGAGGUGCGAAAGCGUGGGGAGCAAACAGG
rnacentral:rRNA from 1 species